rnacentral:rRNA from 1 species
GACGAACGCUGGCGGCGUGCUUAACACAUGCAAGUCGAACGGAAAGGCCCUGCUUUUGUGGGGUGCUCGAGUGGCGAACGGGUGAGUAACACGUGAGUAACCUGCCCUUGACUUUGGGAUAACUUCAGGAAACUGGGGCUAAUACCGGAUAGGAGCUCCUGCUGCAUGGUGGGGGUUGGAAAGUUUCGGCGGUUGGGGAUGGACGCGCGGCUUAUCAGCUUGUUGGUGGGGUAGUGGCUUACCAAGGCUUUGACGGGUAGCCGGCCUGAGAGGGUGACCGGCCACAAUGGGACUGAGAUACGGACCAGACUCCUACGGGAGGCAGCAGUGGGGAGUAUUGCACAAUGGGCGGAAGCCUGAUGCAGCAACGCCGCGUGCGGGAUGACGGCCUUCGGGUUGUAAACCGCUUUCGCCUGUGACGAAGCGUGAGUGACGGUAAUGGGUAAAGAAGCACCGGCUAACUACGUG